ensembl:snoRNA
AUCCUUUUCUGGUUCAUAGGCCUCAUGAUUGGGCUUUCAUGCUCAGGGGUGACAUGAGCCUCCCUUCAAUCUUGUUACAGGUCGGGUGUGUGGCUCACGCCUGUAAUC